rnacentral:rRNA from 1 species
UACGUAGGGUGCAAGCGUUAAUCGGAAUUACUGGGCGUAAAGCGUGCGCAGGCGGUUUUGUAAGUCUGUCGUGAAAUCCCCGGGCUCAACCUGGGAAUUGCGAUGGAGACUGCAAGGCUAGAAUCUGGCAGAGGGGGGUAGAAUUCCACGUGUAGCAGUGAAAUGCGUAGAGAUGUGGGAGGAACACCGAUGGCGGGCAGGCC